GAUGAACGCUGGCGGCAUGCCUAAUACAUGCAAGUCGAACGAGAGGAAGGAAAGCUUGCUUUUCUGAAUCUAGUGGCGAACGGGUGAGUAACACGUAGGUAACCUGCCCAUGUGCCCGGGAUAACUUCUGGAAACGGAUGCUAAAACCGGAUAGGUAGCAGACAAGCAUUUGACUGCUAUUAAAGUGGCUAAGGCCAUGAACAUGGAUGGACCUGCGGUGCAUUAGCUAGUUGGUGAGGUAACGGCCCACCAAGGCGACGAUGCAUAGCCGGCCUGAGAGGGCGGACGGGCACAUUGGGACUGAGACACGGCCCAAGCUACUACGGGAGGCAGCAGUAGGGAAUUUUCGUCAAUGGGGGGAACCCUGAACGAGCAAUGCCCCGUGAGUGAGGAAGGGCUUCGGAUCGUAAAGCUCUGUUGUAAGAGAAAAACGACAUUCAUAGGGAAUGAUGAGUGAGUGAUGGUAUCUUACCAGAAAGUCACGGCUAACUACGUGCCAGCCGCCGCCGUAAUAC
rnacentral:rRNA from 1 species